rnacentral:rRNA from 1 species
GACGUAGUGGGCCAGCGUUGCUCGGAAUUACUGGGUGUAAAGGGUUCGUAGGCGGUGUGGCAAGUCGGGAGUGAAAUCUCUGGGCUCAACCCAGAGUCUGCUUCCGAAACUGCUGUGCUUGAGUGUGGGAGAGGCGCGUGGAAUUGCAGGUGUAGCGGUGAAAUGCGUAGAUAUCUGCAGGAACACCCGGGGCGAAAGCGGCGCGCUGGACCACUACUGACGCUGAGGAACGAAAGCUAGGGGAGCAAACAGG